UCUAUAUAUUGCAACUUUCUUCUUAUCUAUCCUAUACAUAGUUUCAUACUGCAUACACUCUAAGACUGAACAGAAAUAGGAUACAUUUUUCUAAAACUUCUUUCUGAACUUUUUGCAGAGGACUUGACUAAAUCUAUAUGUAAGUCAAAGGAUGUGUUGAAAUGAUUGGGAUGAAAACAUUGUUCUUAUUUUGGACCAAAAAAAAAAGUUGAGCUUUCACUUCAGAAACUUAUUUUGUUUCCCAUUGUUGUGUUGUUUUUGUCUGAGUCUAACUCUUCUGUGUUGGUGACAAGCCAUGACCUAUAGAAUGUAUAUGUACUAUUUAUUUAUUGGCUGUCUGAAUAUUGCAGCUGUACUCUGUAAAAAAAAAAAAAUAUUUUGUGACUAUCAUCUCAAUAGUGCCAUGAUCUGUUGUUUGUUUCACUUCAACUUUACUGGAAUUCAUUUUCAAGCAAUUUUAUUUUUAACUUAGGCCAAAAACCAUGAGCCUGAUGUUAAUAUUUAAUCAACCAAAUGAUCACAAAUUAAUGGAGAUAAGUUUCUGAUUGUUAGUAAGGAUUUCAAGUAUAAAAUUUACAGACCCAUGACAGAGACUUUUUAACAUCAUUCAGAUUUGUGUGUGUACAUUUACCAUAAAGGAAUGAAUCAAAUCAAUUCUCUUGUAAAGUGGGUUUAAGUUUGUUUUUUUCAUAUGCAUGCUGACAUGCUUAAGAAAUAGUGUUUGGCCGCUAUAGUUUGUAAUGUGUACAUUCUUCAGUUCAGCUCCAUGUUUAGUUAGUAAUUUGAGAUGACUUGGUUCAAGUUUUUAUAUCAAAUUUACACUGGCUCAUUGCUAAGCAUUUAUAUUUAUAUCAAUUUAUGCAAUAUACAACUACAUUUAAGCAUUAUUAGCCUGUAUUAUUACAAAAUAAAAUAUAUUAACAAAGUAGACAUAGGCAAGAUAUGCUUUGUGUGUGUGUGUGUGCAUGUGUUUAUUAGAAAUUGUUUUUUUAAUGAAGUGUAGGCUUUUGUUAGCAGUGUACAGUUGGUUGGAUUUAUUAUUACUGUAGAUUUGAAGACAUAGAAGUUAUCAGUCUCCAUAUGCUAGGACAAAUUGUACAAAUGCUCCUCUUCUUCCCUAGUGCAGUUAGAGCAGGGAAUGAGUUGCCAGCAUGGAAAACCAAUGACUUGGCAGAUUUAAGUUAUUGAUUAACAUGCAUGACUAGAUUGACCUAGGAACACAAGGGUAGGAUGUAACCAUCAUCUUUUUAGAAGUUACUUCUAUAUUGUAUAAGAUGAUAUAUUAUUAGCUCAAUAAAUGUCUUUUAUUGUAUAAGAAUUUUAGGCUUCUCAAAACUGAACCUAAUAGUGAAAUUUUGGGAGGCUUUCAAUUAAAUAAACAUUAGAGAAUAAAUUGAAAGUAUGGACCCAUAUUACAAAAUUAAUCAAGAUUUUGUUUCCCUAUCCAGAUUUUUAUCUUCAUUUUAUUUUAUGUAAAUCUUUUAAAAUAUUUCAAUGUGUCAUUUAAUUUAAAAAUUAUAUAUUGGGCUAUAAAUAUUAAAGAUCUUGGCAAAUCAAAUCUUAGCUCUCAAAGCCCAUUAGGGUGAAUAAGAAAAGAAAAAGAAUCAACUCUUCAAUUACAAUAAAAGCAUCAAACAAUGCAUAUAUUGCUUUUGGUAGAACAUUGUUACUGUAAAAUAUGAGACACCAUUUUCAUUUCUUCAGUCUUGUUUUGCCUAUAGAUCAGAAAAAAAUAGGACAAAACAGAAUUGAUAAUGCUAUAGUUAUAAGCUCAGCUUAGGGGUUGGUUGUCAUGAAAUUCACAGAGAACAUUUUGCUGUUAAGAAACCAUUUGAUUCAAACUAAUUAAUACCUAAGCUCCUAAUUGUAUGCAUAUAUAAAACAUAUGAGUGUUGAUAGAAUUUGUUAAAUAGAUUGAAAGUUAUUGAAACAUACUUCUUUCCUAACAGUUAAAGUUAAAAACAAAAACAGGACAAUCAAAAUAUAAAAAAUGGUGAAUCUAUAAAAUUCAGAGAUUUUUUUUUUAAGUUUAAAAAGUCUCAUUCCUCAGUUGAUUUUUAUGUUUCUACUUUGUAUGAAGGUCAAGGACUUUUCAACAUUUUAAAAAAUCGUUAACUUGAAUAUCAGUACUGAUUACUAACUAGUCCUUACUCUUGUCUACAAAAAAUGCUUUGUUAAGAAUUCUAGAUAUCUGACCAAACUAAAAACCAAAAUGCUGCAUCAUAAUGAGUGCUCUAGUUUCUGUUCAACAUGGAACCAGGCCAUAAAGGUUAUACUUGUCAGUUCAUCAAAUACUGUUGUCAUCUAGUAGUGCAGAUGUCACUAAAACAGCUUUGCUAAUAACAACUCAAAUUUAAAUAUUUUACAGUAUUUUUUGUUUGUUGUAUUGAAGUCUUAGUGUAUCAUUCAUUUAUUAUAAUAAAAUAAAAAAGUAUGCACAUUAAAAAA